rnacentral:rRNA from 1 species
CGCUGGCGGCAUGCCUAACACAUGCAAGUCGAACGGUAACAGCGGGAGCUUGCUCCUGGCUGACGAGUGGCGGACGGGUGAGUAACGCGUAGGAAUCUGCCUGAUAGAUGGGGACAACUCAGGGAAACUUGAGCUAAUACCGAAUACGCCCUACGGGGGAAAGCGGGGGAUCUUCGGACCUCGCGCUAUCAGAUGAGCCUGCGUUGGAUUAGCUAGUUGGUGAGGUAAUGGCUCACCAAGGCGACGAUCCAUAGCUGGUCUGAGAGGACGAUCAGCCACACUGGGACUGAGACACGGCCCAGACUCCUACGGGAGGCAGCAGUGGGGAAUAUUGGACAAUGGGCGAAAGCCUGAUCCAGCAAUGCCGCGUGUGUGAAGAAGGCCUGAGGGUUGUAAAGCACUUUCAGUAGGGAAGAAAGGUCAAGCGUUAAUACGCUAGGCUGUGACGUUACCUACAGAAGAAGCACCGGCUAACUCCGUGCCAGCAGCCGCGGUAAUACGGAGGGUGCGAGCGUUAAUCGGAAUUACUGGGCGUAAAGCGCACGUAGGCGGUUUAGUAAGUCGAAUGUGAAAGCCCCGGGCUCAACCUGGGAACUGCAUUUGAAACUGGUUAACUAGAGUGUGGUAGAGGAGAGUGGAAUUUCAGGUGUAGCGGUGAAAUGCGUAGAUAUCUGAAGGAACACCAGUGGCGAAGGCAGCCCCCUGGGUUAAUACUGACGCUCAUGUACGAAAGCGUGGGUAGCGAACAGGAUUAGAUACCCUGGUAGUCCACGCCCUAAACGAUGUCAACUAGUUGUUGGAGAAGGAGACUUCUUUAGUAACGUAGCUAACGCGUGAAGUUGACCGCCUGGGGAGUACGGUCGCAAGAUUAAAACUCAAAGGAAUUGACGGGGACCCGCACAAGCGGUGGAUUAUGUGGAUUAAUUCGAUGCAACGCGAAAAACCUUACCUACCCUUGACAUGCCAAGAACUUUCCAGAGAUGGAUUGGUGCCUUCGGGAACUUGGACACAGGUGCUGCAUGGCUGUCGUCAGCUCGUGUCGUGAGAUGUUGGGUUAAGUCCCGCAACGAGCGCAACCCUUGUCAUUAAUUGCCAUCAUUUAGUUGGGCACUUUAAUGAGACUGCCGGUGAUAAACCGGAGGAAGGUGGGGAUGACGUCAAGUCCUCAUGGCCCUUAUGGGUAGGGCUUCACACGUAAUACAAUGGCGCGUACAGAGGGUUGCCAAGCCGCGAGGUGGAGCUAAUCCCAGAAAGCGCGUCGUAGUCCGGAUUGCACUCUGCAACUCGAGUGCAUGAAGUCGGAAUCGCUAGUAAUCGCGGAUCAGAAUGUCGCGGUGAAUACGUUCCCGGGUCUUGUACACACCGCCCGUCACACCAUGGGAGUGGACUCUGCCAGAAGUAGGUAGCCUAACCGUAAGGAGGGCGCUUACCACGGUGGGUUUCAUGACUGGGGUG